rnacentral:rRNA from 1 species
CCUACGGGUGGCUGCAGUGAGGAAUAUUGGUCAAUGGCCGCGAGCCUGAACCAGCCAAGUCGCGUGAGGGAAGACGGUCCUAUGGAUUGUAAACCUCUUUUGUCGGGGAGCAAAAGACGCCACGCGUGGCGUUCCGAGAGUACCCGAAGAAAAAGCAUCGGCUAACUCCGUGCCAGCAGCCGCGGUAAUACGGAGGAUGCGAGCGUUAUCCGGAUUUAUUGGGGGUAAAGGGUGCGCAGGCGGAAGGUCAAGUCAGCGGUAAAAUGUAGAGGCUCAACCUCUUCGAGCCGUUGAAACUGGUUUUCGUGAGUGAGUGAGAAGUAUGCGGAAUGCGGGGUGUAGCGGUGAAAUGCAUAGAGAUCACGCAGAACUCCGAUUGCGAAGGCAGCAUACCGGCGCUCAACUGACGCUCAUGCACGAAAGUGUGGGUAUCGAACAGGAUUAGAUACCCCAGUAGUC